rfam:Camelus ferus unplaced genomic scaffold scaffold313, whole genome shotgun sequence.
GAGGGUGUAGCUCAAGUGGUAGAGCACAUGCUUAGCAUAUACAAGGUCCUGGGUUCAAUCCCCAGUACCUCCU